rnacentral:rRNA from 1 species
AGUGAACGCUGGCGGUAGGCCUAACACAUGCAAGUCGAACGGCAGCACAGUAAGAGCUUGCUCUUACGGGUGGCGAGUGGCGGACGGGUGAGGAAUACAUCGGAAUCUACUUUUUCGUGGGGGAUAACGUAGGGAAACUUACGCUAAUACCGCAUACGACCUACGGGUGAAAGCAGGGGAUCUUCGGACCUUGCGCGAUUGAAUGAGCCGAUGUCGGAUUAGCUAGUUGGCGGGGUAACGGCCCACCAAGGCGACGAUCCGUAGCUGGUCUGAGAGGAUGAUCAGCCACACUGGAACUGAGACACGGUCCAGACUCCUACGGGAGGCAGCAGUGGGGAAUAUUGGACAAUGCGCGCAAGCCUGAUCCAGCCAUACCGCGUGAGUGAAGAAGGCCUUCGGGUUGUAAAGCCCUUUUGUUGGGAAAGAAAAGCAGCAGGUUAAUACCCCGCUGUUCUGACGGUACCCAAAGAAUAAGCACCGGCUAACUUCGUG